rnacentral:rRNA from 1 species
AGUGAACGCUGGCGGUAGGCCUAACACAUGCAAGUCGAACGGCAGCACAGUAAGAGCUUGCUCUUACGGGUGGCGAGUGGCGGACGGGUGAGGAAUACAUCGGAAUCUACUUUUUCGUGGGGGAUAACGUAGGGAAACUUACGCUAAUACCUCAUACGACCUACGGGUGAAAGCAGGGGAUCUUCGGACCUUGCGCGAUUGAAUGAGCCGAUGUCGGAUUAGCUAGUUGGCGGGGUAAAGGCCCACCAAGGCGACGAUCCGUAGCUGGUCUGAGAGGAUGAUCAGCCACACUGGAACUGAGACACGGUCCAGACUCCUACGGGAGGCAGCAGUGGGGAAUAUUGGACAAUGGGCGCAAGCCUGAUCCAGCCAUACCGCGUGGGUGAAGAAGGCCUUCGGGUUGGAAAGCCCUUUUGUUGGGAAAGAAAAGCAGCAGGUUAAUACCCCGCUGUUCUGACGGUACCCAAAGAAUAAGCACCGGCUAACUUCGUG